GAUUAUGGCUCAGGAUGAACGCUGGCGGCGUGCUUAACACAUGCAAGUCGAGCGGAGAGUAUUAAGUUGAGAGCUUCGGCAGGAUCUUAAUAAUCUUAGCGGUGGACGGGUGAGUAACGUGUGGGCAACCUGCCCUGUACUGUGGAAUAAUCACUGGAAACGGUGACUAAUACCGCAUGUCAUCACGAGGAGGCAUCUCCUUGUGAGAAAAGGAUUUAUUCGGUACAGGAUGGGCCCGCAUCUGAUUAGCUAGUUGGUGAGAUAACAGCCCACCAAGGCAACGAUCAGUAGCCGACCUGAGAGGGUGAUCGGCCACAUUGGGACUGAGACACGGCCCAAACUCCUACGGGAGGCGGCAGUGGGGAAUAUUGCACAAUGGGCGAAAGCCCUGAUGCAGCAACGCCGCGUGAAGGAUGAAGGGUUUCGGCUCGUAAACUUCUAUCAAUACGGACGAAAAACCUGACGGUACCUAACUUAGAGCCCGGCUACUACGUGCCAGCCGCCGC
rnacentral:rRNA from 1 species